UACGUAGGUGACACGCGUUAUCAGGAAUUACUGGGCGUAAAGCGCACGCAGGCGGCAGCUUAAGUCUGACGUGAAAUCUCCUGGCUUAACUGGGAGAGGUCGUUGGAAACUGGGCAGCUUGAGGUGGUGAGAGGGGUGCAGAAUUCCCGGUGUAGUGGUGGAAUGCGUAGAUAUCGGGAGGAAUACCAGUGGCGAAAGCGGCGCCCAGGCACUGACCUGACGCUCAUGUGCGAAAGCGUGGGGAGCAAACGGG
rnacentral:rRNA from 1 species